rnacentral:rRNA from 1 species
UUAUGGCUCAGGAUGAACGCUGGCGGCGUGCUUAACACAUGCAAGUCGAACGGAGUUGCCUUUCAGAUUCUUCGGAUUGACGAGUUGGUAUACUUAGUGGCGGACGGGUGAGUAACGCGUGAGCAACCUGCCUUUAGUGGGGAAUAACGGCUGGAAACGGUCGCUAAUACCGCAUAAUAUGUAUUUAUCGCAUGUUAGAUACAUUAAAGAUUUAUCGCUAGAAGAUGGGCUCGCGUCCGAUUAGCUAGUUGGUGAGAUAACAGCUCACCAAGGCGACGAUCGGUAGCCGGACUGAGAGGUUGAACGGCCACAUUGGGACUGAGACACGGCCCAGACUCCUACGGGAGGCAGCAGUGGGGAAUAUUGCACAAUGGGCGCAAGCCUGAUGCAGCAACGCCGCGUGAAGGAAGACGGUCUUCGGAUUGUAAACUUUUGUCCUUAGCAACGAAACAAAUGACGGUAGCUUUGGAGGAAGCCACGGCUAACUACGUGCCAGCCGCUGC